UUAAUAUAAAAUACGGUCUAUUAGUUUUUAACUAAAAAAGCUAAGAGACGUCUCUUAAAUAAGAAAUAUGAGAGACGUUUCUUAGCUUUUUUAGUUAAAAGAUAAAAGACUGUAUUUUAUAUUAC
rnacentral:pre_miRNA from 1 species